AACGAACGCUGGCGGCGCGUUUUAAGCAUGCAAGUCGAACGGCAAGAGAGGUAGCAAUACUUCUCCUAGAGUGGCGAACGGGUGAGUAAGACGUAGGUGAUCUACCCCUGGAUGGGGGAUAUCCGUGGAAACACGGGGUAAUACCGCAUAAGGCCUUGAGGGUGAAGCCUUGAGGUGAAAGCUCCAAUUGGAGCGUCUGGGGAUGAGCCUGCGGCCCAUUAGGCAGUUGGCGGGGUAAUGGCCCACCAAACCGACGAUGGGUAGCCGGCCUGAGAGGGUGUACGGCCACACUGGAACUGAGACACGGUCCAGACUCCUACGGGAGGCUG
rnacentral:rRNA from 1 species